CGGCCUCCCAAAGUGCUGGGAUUACAGGCUUGAGCCACCGCGCCCGGCCCAUAUUCAAUCCUUAUUUGCUAGAUUAUGCUACAAAAUGGAUGUGUAAAAGUAUGUGACUUUUCAUGCCUCUUCUAGAUCUAAACGCUAUAAUUUGAAUACAAAUUUAUUAUCUGUUUAUAAUGUAUAAUCUUCCCAGUGAAGAAUCAUACUCCCUAAGGUUAAUUUGUUGAGCAGGAGAUUGGUAAUUCUGCAUUUAGCCCAGUAGGUGGCACCAACCACAUCCAGGCUUCAAGUCCACAGAGUGGUAAUUCAGGAACCAUGAAAUGCUGUGGGAGAGAUCCGUCUUCUAUUACUCUCAGGACAAAAGGUGCCACAUUUAUGUAUCAAACGAAAAAAGGAAAAAAUUUCUUGAUGUUUUAUCACACGGUCUUUUGGCAGCAAGGUAUAUUACUGGCAGCCUUGAUUAGACCAUGUUAAACUCAGUGUUCUGUUGCAUAAUUUUUACCUAGUAUUUUACUCCCUGUACUACAGUUCUCUCCAUUUCAAAAAAGUCACUGCCCACUUCCUCCACAAUCUUUGUAGAAUAGUGUUCCCUUCUACCACAGAUAAAUCACGUGAUUGGGGCACUAAAAUGAAAAAUAAAAGAUGGUGUUUAUUUGAAGUUUGUAUACUUAAUAGUGUUAUAGGACAGUGUUCCUUCUUCUCUAGUUUCAAAAGAAUUGAACUGCACAAACCUGUCUUAGAGAAAGGGCAGAACAUAAUUUUGGACACACCUCUCAGUAAAUCAGGGUACAGGCUCUUCUGUUCUAAGCAUUUCCAAGUAGAGGAAGGGUUUACCUCAGUACCCUUAGCCAAGAACUCCUCCUCCCACUGUCCUAUGUACUGGUUGGCUGAGUUGCAGUGGUAUGAUCUGUGUAGCUGGCAAAAUACAAUCCUGUGCUAAUAUUACUGAUUUUGUUACACAUCAACAAAUCCCUACUUUUGAAUUCCCUUGAUGCCCAGGAUGUGGCAUUACCAUCAUCCAUGUUAUCUUUGGCAUGCUGCAUCACUUAGUCUGUUUACACCUACGGUGAAGUCUUUACUUUUGAUUUUUCUGGAGACAGGUGACAUUUGAAAGGAUUUACUUUCCCACCAGUGUAAAAUUAUAAUUUGACUCAGGGUGUAUUGUAGGCCCUCCCUAACUUCUACAGAGUCCAGAAAGCAAGUUUGUGGACUUUGGCAGUCACCUAUCUUAGAAAGCACAGGCGCUAAGCAAUCUCUAAAUUCAACUGAAUUUCCCAUCAUAUCUCCUGGUGUUUAAAGAAGAGGUUUAUCUUCAGCAAUGAUAUAACUUGUGUUAAGACAUUUGAUUCUGACAGCUUUUCUUUUCUCUCCUCCCCUCAAUCCCCACCAACUCUUAGCAUUUCCUUGAGGUCUUCUGAGAAAAACCUGAAGGUUGGUUGUGAGUAUUAUGCUACACUUAUAAAUUCAGAUGAAAGCCCAGCGAGGUGGGAAAUGAAUACUCUUGAAACCUUAUUUACUCUCUAACUCCUUCUGUUCUGAAAGCAAGUCAUUCUUCCUGGCUUUAACCUUUACUUCACUUUAGUAUUUUUCUUCCUGAUGGCUGAACUAUACUUCAGCAGGUGCUGCUGAAGGGAAAAUAGUAGUGUUAAGCUAAAAUGCUGAAAGGCAGGGGCGGAAAACCACAGCUAGCUCAAAUCCGGGUCCUUGAUAAGUAGUACUGUUGCUUUCAAGUACAGGCUUUUUCAAGCUUUGAGGCAACAUGAACCUUUUGAAUGUCAAAGUUAGGUUUAUGGUAUUAAUAGGUUAUAAAGUUAAUUUCUAAACUAAGUCAUUCUUUUACUUAAGACCUCACAGAAAUUCAGGGGGAGAAAAACUUUUUUUUUUACCCUAAAUAUAAAUUUUGAAGCUUGUCAAAAUAAACUGUACCCUUAUUAAUAUUAUUUUAAUGGGUGACAACAAAUUCCAUAAUUUGUGGGCAUCACCCACUCAGGAGUGCAGCAGUAUGUCUAGGAAAGUGUUAUCAUAUUUAGCAAAUAAAAAAAGAUACCCUAUUAAAUUUGAAUUUCACCAAAUAAUUUGUAGUAUGUGUGUCCCAAAUAUUUCAUGAGAUAUAUGAAACAUUAUUUGCUGUUUAUAUUAAAAUUCAAAUUUAACUGGGAGUCCCAUAUUUAAGUCUGGCAACUCUAAUUUAGGACAGACUUACUAUGGGUCCUACUGAGCACCCUAUAAUUCUCCCUUUUUCUCCUUUUCAUUGCCUCCCUUCCCCUUCUCACCCUACGCCUGCCAUUCUCUAUGCUUCCUCUUUCUCUUCCCCCAUCUUUAUCUUUUGUUUACUCUUCACUAUCUACAAUUGACCAUUUUUGUGAAAUAUAUCUAUCUGGUUUAUCUGAGGGUAUGUAUAUAUACACAUAACUUAUUAUUCCACUUUUUUAUUUACUUGCAUGUAAUUCUUAAAUGAAUUUUCCCCCUGUGGGACAUGAGCUCUAAACAGAAAAAUAGUCUGCCACUCCAACUUCUUAAAUAAUGUUUGACAAAGUUAUUUUCAAAAAAAAAAAAAUCAAAAAAUUCACAUCAAUGCUAAUACCCACAGUGAUACAAAACAAAACAAAACUAAUUUUUUGUUUUUCUGUUUUUCCCUCCUCAGAAGAAGCUCUUGUUUUCCUAAUGUUUUCCCUUAGGUACUAUGGGCACUACAACUAUGGACAGAGUGACUACUGGCAGAAAUGAACACCAAGUGAGAAUUCUGGGAGCAAAGAUCUACACAGAACAAGGAACUAAAGGAAGUCAGCCUGAUGAUGCAGGAGGGAGGCUCUUUUUUCUGAGGUCACUGUCAGAUGAAGCACUGAAGAAUUUGCAGGCUUUCACUCCAUUUGCUUUGGACAGAUUUAAAGACAAGGCAUAGCCAUUUGUGUUAAUUAAAAUCUCUCAAACCUUU